ensembl:lncRNA
CUGGAGGGGAGAAGGUGAAGGCACUGUACUUACUGCUGAGUUAGCAUUUAUAGUUGCUCUUCGUGUUGGUGUGGAGUUUUUGACAUUUUUGCACAGGAUCCCAGGGAGGUUCUUUUGGCUAUGCGGACACCAACCAGCCAGUGCUAGAAGUUGUUCCAAUGCACGUGACCUGUCAAACCAUCUGUUUUGACGCUCCUUGCAGUCAGGUGAAGCAGCAGCUUUCCUCAGAAGAUGCUUCGUGCUCCAUGAGGGCUUCACCCUGCCAGCGCUCCCCAGAUGCCAACACACACAGGUAUGGCCCAUUGAAGAUAAAACAGUGCAACUUCAACAGCUGCGUGAGUGUUGCAUUACAUAUUGGAGUUGCGUUUGCUGCCAUAGUUUGAAUCCAAGUGAUCACCUGGAGACUGAUAAGGAAAAGAUAAUAGCACUCCAUCUCCCUCCUGUGCCACCGCCCGCCCUGCCUGCCUUCCUGCCUCCCACAGUGGUGACAGACGUGCCUCAUCUCUUUUGGGCUCUCUGUGCCUCAGUAACAUAUUUGUGAGGAGUGCUCUGCUCGGGUACAAGAUGUGAAGCACCAGGAAGUGGGUGCCUUUGUCUGACGCUGCAGAAGGGAUGGAUAACAUCACUUUGCAUCAGUUUCCACAUCUGUAAAUAGUGGUUCAGCUUAUAGAAAAGAAGAAUUCUAUGUAAGUGCUUACAUCUUGUUACAAAGGGGCUGUAAGUGACCUAGAAAACAGAUAAAGUUUCCUGGUAUCAAAUAGAAUUAUGAUCUGUGCACGCUUACAAAGCAGCUAUCUACAAGCUGUCUUUCAUGCUGACAGUUGUAAAACAGCAUCAAACCUGAAUGCUGAUCAAAAUAAGCAGCAUUUUAUUGUGAAAUAAAUAGCAUUUUACCAUGCUUCUGGCCACAUAGAAAGCCCAGCUCAAUGGCCACUGUACUAAGACACUGUGUGUGGCAGGGGAUCAAUGCAUAUAUGUACUGGCUCACCUGUUCUGCAUGCCGUGGGGCACUGCUCAGGGUCCUGCAAGGGCCAGGAGCUAUGUGGUACACAUGGAACCAGAUACAAGCCAAGUCCCACCUGCUGUUUCUCUUCCAGAUACCUCAACAGUUGUUCUGUGCUUCUGUUUGUAUUCUCUCCCAGCUGCCCGUGCAAUUUUGGCAUGCUGUUUAGGUGGUCUGUGACCAGAACUGAGUGAAUGGAGUUGUGGACUCCACCUCUACUGCUUCAGACCCCACAGCAACCCACAGUGCUGCAAGUCAUGGCCUUCUGCACCGACUAUUCACAACAAGAGAGUGACAUUGAUGUUUCCCUGAUAUCCUCUGGUUCUGGUGGGAAUGGGAUCUGAAUUUUCUCCCCAUUCUCCUUUCCCUGUGGCUUCCUCUCAUCUGCCUGGUGUUAAUAAUCCACAUUUCACUCUUUCAUCCUAACUCCUCCCUGCUACUCUUUACCUCCCUCUCAAGUGAUGCCUCAGUUCCCCAAGAAAAAGUGGAAAACAAAUGGAAACAACACUCAGUGAGGUGGUGGGAGGGAAGUUCAGCUGCCAGUGAUACAACCAGCCCCUCCUGCCCUCCUCACGGGGUGUGCUGGAGGAGAAGGCAAAUAUUGGGUGCAUUGUUAUCCCGGGGCUGUCAGAGUGUGCAGAGCACGGAGGAUGACAGUGUAGUCUCUGGCUCAGUUUCAGCUGGUUGGAACAGGGUACACAGCUACAGAAAUAGGCAGUGUUACUGUUGACUUGUGCAUUUAGAUUGAUGGGGAAUCCAGGGUGAAACUGCAAGAGAAAUUUCUCUUUUCUUCCCCAUCUGAGCUGUAACAGUAACUGUAAAGGGACAGAAUAGUUUUUUUUUUUUUUGAGUUCAAAGAGUCAAGGCUCAGUCAUAUCAGACAUGAAAUAACUUUCUGCUUAAGCAAUAAAGAACUAUAUUUUCUCUCAAAGCAGUGAGUUCUAUAAACCAUACAUUGAUCUGAGAAGAAAAUUGUUAACUUCAGAAAAUGAGGGAGUAUGUUUGUCUGAAAUUGAGUUAGUUCUAUUAUCGCUGAAGGCCAGCCUGCUUAGAUAAAUCAACUUCUAGUGACUUAGAAAUCACAGUGAAGAUAAAGCCUGGUCAAUAGUUUAACACUUUGUUUCAGGGAAUAGAGGCAUUGUUGACCUAGCCAGAACCAGACAGAGGCCAUUGUGGAAAAUGUCAGCAAAACCCAGUAUGAAAUUGCUCAGGUUAAGGAUGAAUCAUCAAGAACUAAUGACAGAAAUGACAUUUUCUUUUUAAGAUUACUCAAUAGAAAAGCAAGAACUUACAUUUGGUUUACACUUUAAGUGGUUUGACUUACCUUUCACUUACUUUGAGCUGAAAAUGAGCCUGAUUUAGAGUGUGUGUCCUGUGACAGCUUAUCCAUCAUCCAUCAUAUGCAGUGUGCACAGGCAAAACCAUUACCAGAGCAUUCAAUCCAUCACAGACCUUGCACCUUUGCAUUUUGUUCUGAAAUUUAUCCCAGAAAUUGCAUGCACUUAUGAAACACUUCCAGGCAUGUGACUGUAUUUCUAGCUUUGAUUCUCAUUGGCAGCAGAGGUAGCAGGGACCACCACUAUCUUUCCCUGAUGAUUUUUAGAGCCCUUUUUUUGGUUGCUACAUCUUUACCAAAAUUUGUUGUUUGGGCUGAAAUUUGUCACUGCAGAGCAGCAAAAAAUGUAGAGCUUUUUUUUUUUUUCUUGCCAGUUCUUCCAUGUGGAUUGUUGCCUGCUACAAUGAAGGCAUGGUCCACCCUGUGGUAUAAUUACAAGCCAAACUAGGUAAGGCACAAUUUUUCUGUAUCCCACCUGGGCAGUAGCCAGAUGACUUGUCAUUCAGUAGGACAACUCCAGUUGAUUUGGACAAUUCUUGCAGCAUUGCUGAGAAGUAAAAAAAAAAAGAGCAUUUUAAGAUCUCGCUCUUGUCCUUCAGCUUUGAUUAGGAUCCUGAAGGCUUGCUGUCAAGCUGCCUCCUCUGGGUUGUCUAUCAAUGACAAUACUGAAAUACUUAUGAACCAGCAGGGCUGAGGCCUCUCACUCUUCGCACUGACACCAAGUGCUGGAAGUGAAAGAGCUCAGCUGUGUUCUUUAGUGGCAACAUUUUUUAAAAAAUGAAAGGGAAGGAGAAAGAGAGAAUGAGACCACACCAACCAACAGGCAAUGGGAAUGCCUCAGAUUGUGACUUCUGUCACCAUUACGCUCCUUAGGCCGUCCUUACAUCCUAGUAAUUACAUUGAUUUCAGUGGAUUCAGCAGCAUGUGUUUCGCAGACUAUGACUAUAAAUCAGUGCAUAGACUCAUAAGUUACUCACAAGGUAGGUAAUGAGUUAUGCUAUGAACUGAUGGGGAGUAACUUGAAGGUGGCUGUUGAGAAGUCCACAACAUACCUGAACCCAAGAAAUCACAGAAUCACAAAUUACAGGACUUGGAAGGGACCUCUGGAGAUCAUCUAAGGGCCCCUCUGAGGGCUGCUUUGCCUCAAAGUGCUUUUGGUAAGUGACUUACUGUACGAACCUGAGAGAACAUGCGUUUUGGGUGGACUGUGCUUAACCACAUUUAAUUCCCAUAUUUGUAAUCUGCUACUUGCCCUGAGCUGAGGUGAGCUGGAGCAAAGAACCAGAUGGCAAAGCAUUAUUUUCCUAAAGUAAUGUGAUUUAUGUCACAGUUACAGGAGCACUGCAGCCUUACUGUCAGCACCUACUGGUGCUGCUCUGUCUGGGUUUAGAUAAACUUUAAAAGCAUCAGGAUUUAGGACUUGGGCCCUGUGAUCCUUACGGGUAUCCAAGGAGGGGUAUUUUGUGGUUUAUUACUUGACUUUUGUUAUCUACUCUAAGUCCUCUACUAAAGUCUAGAGUAGGUUACACAGGAAAAUAUCCAGGCAGGUUUUGAAUAUUUCAAGAGAAUGAGACUCCACAGCCUCUCCAGGCAGCUCUAUCACCCUCAUAAUAAAGAAUUUCUUCCUCACGUUCAUAAGGAGCUUCCUGUGUUCCAGUUUGUGCCCACUGCCCCUUGUCCUAUCACUGAGCACAGCUGAAAAGAGCCUUGCCGCAUCUGCUUCAACUUGUCCAUUAGAUAUUAAUUGAUAAGAUCCUCCUCAGCCCCAUGUCUCUCAGCCUUUCCUCAAAAGAGAGAUGCUCCAGAUCCUUCAUAAUCUUUGUGGCCCUCCACUGGACUCCUUCUAAGAGAUCCCUGUGUUUGUUGAACUGAGAAGCCCAGAACUGGACACAGUACUCCAGAUGCAGCCUCACCAGUGCAGAGUAGAGGGGGAGGAUCACCUUCCUUGACCUGUUGGCCACAGUUCUUUUAAUGCACCCCAGGAUCCCAUUGGCCUUCUUGGCCACAAGGGCAUACUGCUGGCUCAUGGCCAACCAGUUCUCCACCAGUGCACCCAGGUCCUUCUCCUCAGAGCUCCUUUCCAGUAGGUCAGCCCCUAACCUGUGCUGAUGCACAUGGUCAUUCUUCUGGAUGGCAGGCCUGAUGUGGGUGCAUCAUUUUCUCCAUGCUCUGCCUUGAACCUUGUGGAGACGAAAGAAGACAAUUUGACUAUCUGGCCACCAGAACAAGUGCCCAGGAACCUACCCACUGUGUUUGGUCUGUAUGGGACUCCCUGCACACAGCACGUGUUUCUGGAGACAACUUCCCAGCCAGAGAGACAAGAACCCUACUAUCAGCAGACCUCAGUGCUGUUCAACACAGUGUGCAAUUUACACUAAUUGCUUGAAGUGAUAGAAGCACAAAAAACCUCAGCAGCUGCUUUAGACUACAGGGAAUACACAAUAUCAGGACUACUCCUUUUUAUUCUUUCACCUGCACUGAAGUGAGAGACUGGACCACAAUAGCCUGAUUUCUCUGAGCUAAGCGUGUUUAAAAUCUGUGUACUUUAGGCUUGGACUUGCACUGAAAGCAGCAAGUAGGUGCCAGGCAUCCCCACAGUGGGGCAAGGCUUUCCAGAGGUCUGCCCAGUACAGUGUCAGAGCAGGCUGUGACUGAUGGGCCUGCAGCAAUCUAAGGGAGGGGAGCAGAUCACCAGAUCAGCAUUUAAUAAGUUCAUUCAGCAUCUUUAGAACACUGCUACUCUGUUGCCACAUGGGUGAUUUUUUUUCUAUUUUUCUGCAGACCUGGAAAUAACAACCUUUAUUGAAGUGCUUAUAUUCGGCCAUAUCAGAUCUUCAUGUUCUAGCAUUAAGGCUUUGAAAGGGAUAUUUAAUAUGAGAUGAAUAUUUGCUAAGCCAUCGGGUUCAAAAGUAGAUUUUUGGAAAUGGACAUGACCUGAAAACAGCUUUUCAACACUCAGCAGUUUUGCCUCUGUCCCGUAUGGUGUCUCUUAUUAAUCAGAGUGAGGACCAGAGUGCAUUUCUGAGCACCGAGGCACUCAGAUCUUGCUGUUCCCUCAAAGCACAGCAAUCUCUUUAAAAUAAUCACUUUGGUUCUUCCAUUCAGCAUUCCAUCUCUGACCUUGCAAGGACCAACAAAACUUGUGGAACGAUAAGAUCAUAAAUAGCGUUAUAAUGGUUACAGCUCAAUAUCCCUUUUGAAUGCUGCAUAUGCUAACAGUGAAGUACUCCAAAAUAAAUGAAAGUCUAUUUUGUUGCAUUUUGGUGCUAAAAAUAAAUGACCAUGUAAUUAAAGGCAUUGCAGG